rnacentral:pre_miRNA from 1 species
UUGGUUGUCCAAAAAAGUUUGUUUGGGUUUUUCAAACCAUCUUACAGAAAAUCCAAAUGAAUGCUUUGGCCAACCCA